AUAAAGGAGUCACAUUUCACUGAAGAAGGAGGAAUCAGCGCUCCACUUCUUCUUCUUCUUCUUCUUUCUUUCUUUCUUUCGGUCCCCACAUUAUUAUUUUUUCUCUCCUCUCACUGCAUCCCACUCUGAUUCUACACUUUUCCUCCAUUUCCCCCUCUUUCUCUUCACUCGUUGUUCUGUUUCCCAUUCUUUCCAAAGUCAGCUUCAACUCUUUCUUCCACUUUUUUUUGGUUUCUGUCAUGCAAAACACUGCAGUCGUUUUCUUUUUCUCCUUCGUUUUGAGUCUUUUAGAACUUUGGGGAAAAGUUUGAUCACAUUAGGGGAAACAAUCCUCCUUUUCUUUCCACUUUUUUCUCUUAAAGUAUGAGGAAAUGUAGAUUUGACAACGCACAGCAUUUCCCGCCUCGGCCACCAUGUCCUGCGCCAUCCUGCCACCACUGCCUCACUACUGCACACGGGAGGAAUCGAGCAAGUAGGAGGGUAGAGGGGAAGGAGGGAGACGAUACAUGUGGGCGGAUUAGAGAAUCAAACAGAAAGGGUGGGAGGACCCCGGAGAAUAGAGGCUAAUUUCAAAUAGGUCUGCUGAACUUUACAGGUGCAUAACACAUUUAAACGCUCGGGGAUGGAUGGUUGACUCAUUUCUGUUUAUUUAUUUAUUUAUUUUUUUAGGUUCCACACUUGUGCGUCUUUUGCGCACAGAGCCGGACGCGCGCAAAAACACCAUUUUGUCUACAGGUUUGGAUGUGACAUCAGCAGUCAUGUGGUAGCUCCUCAAAGGAAUUACAUGAAGUCUUUGAUUUAAAAAAAAUACUUACACUCAUUUGGUUUUAUUACAUAUUUUUCCUUUUUUUCCUCUUUUUCCAUCAAAAUCAGACUAAAAAUGUAGUUAAAAUUGUGAUUUAAAAUCAAAUAAAAUGUACCUUGACAUAAUAUAAAGUGAAGUGUUUAAUAAAAAUAUUGAUUUCGGUUCAUUAUAUUUUAUGUCAUUUUUGUUAUGGCUGCAGCUUUUCUACAAUAAUCAAAAAUUUAGGCAAAAAUGUAGCAAAAACAGUGAUAUAAAGUCAAAUACAAUGUUCCAACUUCAACAAAAAUGGAUGAAAAUGUAUCAUGUGAAUAAUUUUUAUACUUACUUGUUUGUGAUCAGGAACAUUAGUCUUUAUUGUGACUUCAAUAGUUUUUUUUUCUUUUAUUGGCUGUAAAAAA